GCUGGCUCUGGGCUGUGGGGACAGUCACUCUGGGCUGCUCUCUCGGGUGGCUGUUAUGGCCUCACCCCUGGACUCAUUCUGUGCAGUCUCCUCCCCCUUCUCUCCACCCCAUGCAGGGACAGCACUCUGGGUCAGCCUGCCCAGUGAGUCACAGCAGACAGAGGUGCCACUGCACUUAAAGUGAAACCCGGACCUUUGACCUGCAGGCAGAGUGACUCAGGCACGCCUGUGAAGGUCUGGAGGAAGGGCGCCCAGGCUACAGGAACAGCAAGCGGGGGCGCCCCCAGGUGGAAUCAGUCUUGCUGCACCCCAGGGCCAGGAAGAGCCUCCACCUGCGAGGCUGGGCGGAGCCAACGAGAGAGCAGCAGCCAGAAAGGCUGUGGCAGGUGCAGCAGCCUCCUGGGGGAAGAGGGAGGUGAGGAGACACAAGUCUCUUUUCGUCUCCUCCCAGCCAGGUCCCUCAGCAUCCGCUCAGCUGGGGGUACCUGCGUCUGGAUGAAGGUGGGGUAUGCUGCUUUCCCUGUCUUGUAGCCUGUGGCUAAAGCCAAUGUCCCCGACUAUAUUAGUGCUCUAUUGCUGUGUAGCCGGAGUACCACUAACUUUUAGCAGCUUAAAACAACACACAGUAAUUAUCUCCCAGUUUCUGUGGUCAACAGUCUGGACACAGCUUAACUGGCUCCUCCGUUAGGAACUCACAAGGGUGCCACCAAGGCGUCUGCUGGGGCGUGUUCUUACUCGGAAGCUAGACUGGGGAAGAAUCUGCUUCCUAGCUCACUUAGGUUGUUGGCAGAAUUCAUUCCCUUUGAGGUUACGGGACUGAGCAUCCUGGUUCUGGCUGGCUGCAGGCUGGGGACCACUCUCAGCCCCUAGAGGCUGCUGGGAGAUCCUCACUGUCUGUGCCUCUCCGGCAUGACCGGCUACUCCCCCAAAACCGCACAGACAGUCUCUAGGGCAAGUCGGCUAGCGAGACAGAACCUCAUAUGAAAGUGAAAUCAAAUCCAUUGCCUUUGCCGUAUUCCGCAAGUCACAGUUCCUGCCCACGCUCUUUCUAUUUUUAUGUAUAUCCCAUUAUCCUUAGUCUUUUUCUGAAUGAUUUGAGAGGAAGCUGUAGACAAAAUACCCCUCAAAUACUCCAGAGUGUACUUGCCCCCAAAUAAGGGCACUCUCCUACACAAACAUAUAAAAUACAACUUUCCGAGUUAAGAAGUCAACAGAGACUCAGCAUUACCAUCCCUUCUGUGGCCCCUAGAAGUCUCUGAUGGCUCCCUUGCUUUGUAACAGCUGAUGUUCCAGGUUGGUCUAGUACAUUUCUGUCCGUACCUGGAAUCAGCAUCUUCCCCAGGGAGCCCUCAUUAUCUCUAGGGAUAAAUGGCAUUUCAAGACCACAGUCUGGGGC